UACGAAGGGGGCUACCGUUGCUCGGAAUCACUGGGCGUAAAGGGUGCGUAGGCAGGUCUUUAAGUCAGGGGUGAAAUCCUGGAGCUCAACUCCAGAACUGCCUUUGAUACUGAAGAUCUUGAGUUCGGGAGAGGUGAGUGGAACUGCGAGUGUAGAGGUGAAAUUCGUAGAUAUUCGCAAGAACACCAGUGGCGAAGGCGGCUCACUGGCCCGAUACUGACGCUGAGGCACGAAAGCGUGGGGAGCAAACAGG
rnacentral:rRNA from 1 species